GGCCGGUAACGGAGAUACGGAGUUUGUGACGGAGCCGAGUUCAGGAUCCGGGACUGAGGGAGUCGCUACCCAACUGACUGUCGUCAACCAUCUGCAAUCAGCUCCCAUGUCGAUUGUGCCAUGAAUUUGGGUGUGGUGGUUAUCAUGUUCGCCGAACUUGCGAAAAAGCCCUCAACCUGAAACCAGGCAGAAUAAUGACUGCACCUGCCAAGGAUGGUUUGAAGCUUGAAAGACAUUUUUUGAAUGGAAAACCUAAGUUAAUUUUAGCAUCUUAUGAUGCUUCAUCAAAAGACGCUAAAAGGAUAAAAUACAAGAACAGGACAACAACACAGCUGCUGAGAUCUAAACAAGUUUUACAGGAAGUUCCUUCAACCCAUGAAAGUAAUUCUGAGACUGAGAAGCCUUUAUUGAAACACACUGUAACUAAUUCUAUUGUUGCAUCUGGGAAAGGAGAAAAUGCAGAACAGUUGAUUACAGUUAAAAAGACAGAUAACAAAACCAAAAAUAAUGGUGAAACAGCUAAAAAUGGUCAGCCUGGAACUAAAGCUACUGUGAAGACACUUGUCAUAACCAAGCAACAGCCACCAAAGAAGCAAAAGAUCUCUGAGGUGUUAAAAGAGAGCUUGGUAUGCCUGACCCAAGAGCAACUCCAGCAAAUUUUAGCAUCUAUAAGUCAAGUGAAUGAAAAUUCCAACCAAAACCAGCAAAGAGUCAAAAGUACAAAGCCAGGUAAAGAAGUUAAAGAAGCUGAGGCCACACAUAAAGAGCUUAAAGGGGAAGAGAAUGCCACCCUGAAAAUUGGUGUUGACUGUGCCAAUAAUGAGGCCUCACAGGACAGAAGUUCAUCUCAAAAACCACAGGCAACUAAUAAAUCCAGAGCAAAUGUUGAACAAUCAAACCCUGUGCAAACUGAAAAGACUGUGGGUAUUAGUGCGUCCAACCAAGUCCGAGAUGGACUUUUCAGGCACCUUGGAGAGCGAGAAAAUGAAAAGGAUCAGCUGGAAGCCAGGCGAAUCCAAUGGAAAAAAGAGCUAGAUGAACAGGUGGCUUUAAAGAAACUGUUAGAAAAAGAUAAUGCAGCCUCAGAAUUUUUGGAGUGGAAUCCAUGGGGAAGGCCUGGUGCAGGGGCACCCCUUCAAUCCAAAACAGAGAAGAUACUUGCAACAUAUGAAGCAAAGACACGAGCAACUUUACCGGCUGCAUAUACUGAUGGUCGAGUGAUUAGCACUGCCCCCACUGUGGUGAGCACUGCGAGUACAACCGUUCCUGCAGAUCGUAACGUUGGUAAAGCUUCUAGCUUUAGUUCUCCAGAUUUACCUGCUGCUAUCCGUUCAGCCUUUGUGCUUGGGGAAUCUGUGCCAUUAGAGCAUCCUUUCAGCGCAAUAAAACGUGAACAACAAAAGAAGUGGCUCCAAGAACUGGAUAAACAAAGAGAGGAAGAAAAAAAUAGGAAACUGCAAGAAAAGUUAAAAUAUACAGAGGGUGAUGAUCACAACAGAUGGGCUAUGCACUUUGAUUCUUACCAGAAAAAACCUGACCAGCAGACUCCAGUUUUUGUGAACACUUGUGGACCAACACUGAAAAGGUCAUCUGAAUCAGGGCAUGAGCAACAAAGUGCAUUAUCUGAGUUGCAGCAGUUUCCUUCCCAGGCUGUUUCUGUACUCAGUCAUCCGACAUCUUCCACUGGAGAAAAUACAGGGAGUAUAGGUGUUGACAUGGGAUCUGAUGUGCUGCCUAACACACACAAGACCAGCUUUCUGCGAUCCAUGACCGCCUUGUUGGACCCAGCACAGAUUGAGGAGCGAGAUUUACGUCGAAAGAAGCAACGAGAACACCAGAAAGCUAUAGCCAUUCAGGUGGAGGAGCGCCGCAGACAGAAGCAACUGGAAGAAGAUCAGAUACGAAAAGAAGAACAAAAAGAGGAACUUCGUUUGGCAAAGGAGAGAGAAAGGUUGAGACAACAAUAUGAAGAAGAAACUCGAGUACAACGGGAAAAAGAAGAGCUUCAUAAUCGGAAAACCAAUCUGCUUUAUGAAACUGUGCAGAGGGCACAAGAGGAGGCACAAAGGCAGAAACAGGAACAGCGCAUUAGAGAGCUGGUUCGCAAAGGACAUGACAUUUCAAAUCUUCAGAAGAAUGUAGAAGAUAGCAUAAGUCGCAUAAGCCCCUGUACUGUACCUAAUAGUCUUGUUUGUGAAGAAGUUGGUGAGGUACUGGGUCAAGUCUUGAUGGAAAAAGAUUCUCCAAGAAAAGACAGAUGUAUCCAAACUGAGGAUUUUGAGUUGAUUGGGAAAAUUAAGGACAAUGCGCAAGUUACAGAUCACAUCGUGAUGUUCUAUGCACCGAAUACAGCUGCAGAAUGCAACACACUAUCAAAUACAAAAAAACCCAAAGAGAAGCCAAGUGAAAAGAUUGUGGUGAUUGAAAAAGAAAAUGUUUUACUCUCUGAUGACUCAUACAAUCAAUUUGCAAGAACUAAGAAAGGGAAAAAUGAGAAACGUCCAGAAUGGAAUACAAACAAAACAAACAAGCGAUAUGUCCCUGCUUCAGAACGAUAUCCUAAAGGGUUACAAAGAGAGAGAGAAGAGAAAAAAAUGAAAAGACAGAUGGAACUGUUGCAGUUGUUGGAAAAGAAUGCUCCAGAGCAUCGAACUAAGAAAAAGCAGCCAUCAAAAGAGCCGCCAGCAGAGCGAUUGCCAUCGCCAGUGGUGCCAGCACUACAGGCAAAAGUAGCUGUUGGUGUGUCACCUCAGCCUGUAGAAAAACAAGGACUAUCUGUUCUGCAACAGGAUGACCCUGCACUAAGAAGCAACUCAAACAGUAGAUUACCUGCUGACAAAGGUUACAGCCUACAGCGGACAUUGCACCUCUGCAGCCUGCCAUUGUCGCAGAUCCCAGAAUUAAAAGGAAAAGGACCUUGGGAAACCCAACAAACAGAAAAUGAAUUGAAACCACACCUUGUUGGCAGAGCUGCAGAAUUGAUCACAAUGCCAGCUGAGGGUGAAAACAUAAUGGACACUAGAGGAGAUGCAACCGAUCCUGUGAUCUUUGGCUCAUUUGGUUUAUUGUGUGUAUCUCCACCAGUUCCUGCACUGAGGAACAAGUAUCUUCAAAUGGAGCGGAAGGAGCUCCAUGCAGUUCCAAACAUGAAUGCAAGUGAAUGGUGCCAAAGGACUCUAUCUGCUAAUGAACCAGACAAUGACAGACCACCAUCAUCAAACUUCGUUCCUUAUGUGCGUACAGAUGAAGUGUACCAUUUGGAUCCUGAUGCCCCAAUGUCAAGGCCUUCAACAAAUGACCCACAGUACAAACAUUGCAAUGUUACAGAUCACCGACAGCAUCAAAGCUAUGGUUCAGACCAUCCAAAAGAUCCUCUUCUGAACCCUGAUCUGGUGAGAAACCGAGAACGACAGCAAGCUAUUCUCAAAGGGCUUUCCGAACUUCGCCAGGAACAAACUUGGGAGAUUAAUGCAAAAUAUAAAACUUGACUCUUCUUGAAAAACUCAUGAAAAGGUCAGUUAAUUUUGGCCAGGAUAUGAUGGCUGAACGGGAGAGUGGAUGGCAGUCUUAAUCAAAAAGGGCCUGAUGCAGAAACAAAGGGAGCUGGAAACUGGUCUAACAUCCAGUCCUGUACAUCAGGAUGAACAAUAUUCAGUACCUUCUCAACAUUUAUGAUCAUUUAGAUGGACUUCCCCUUCUCCCCACCCUCCACCACAAGGCUGCAAAAUAAUAUCCUCCAAUGAAUCAAGUUUAUGUUUAUGGACAAAAUAGUUAAAGCACUUUGAUAGCACUAGAUAUCUGUAGCCUGUUGGAAAUUAUUGUAGGCUGCUACUUUAGGUUCUCUUUGAUGAUGUUAUCUAUAAAGUUUAAAUAUCAAUAUGCAAAGGAUGUAUCCAUGGUCAAGUUGUACACUGAGUGCUAUGUAGAAAGUUGUGUACCCUUGGGUAUAACUACACAAAGAAACUUGCAUUUACAAAGCACCUUAGGAUGUCCCAAAGUACUCCACAUACAAUUAUUUACACAAAUGUUGUUGACCUUUACCAAGUACUUGCAGGCUGAACAGGAAGUUCGCCAGCGUCAUGUACGUCAUUUACUGAUGCAAAUGACGGAAAGGCUGCUUCAUUAUUUGAUAGUAUUUUAGAGGGAUGCAGCUUCCAGGUACCCUUGGGUUGUUUUCCCAAUUUGAGUAAAGUGGUGAGAAAGGCUGAAGGGAAUUGCUAAUUAGAUUGCUUCCAAAUAUUUCACUCUUGUUGUCAAGAUGUGGGCAAUACUGGAAGGAUUUAUUGCCUAACUCUGAUUUCCCUAAGGUUGUUUUCUUGAACUGCUGGUGCUCUUGUGUUAUGCUUAUACAAUGUUAUUAGAAUGAGCUGUUUGUUGAAAAAUGGCUGGAUUCCAUCUAUGAAAGUGCAUUAGCGUGGAAAAUUGUGUUCCCUCAAAAAUCCAUUUUUCUUUUUAUUGUGUGCUCCUUAAUUUGUAAAAUACCAAAUGUUUCCCUUAAUUGGUAUAUAUAUAUUGCUAGAACAUUAUUGAUACUCAUUGUUUCCCAGUGGCAAAAUAAAGUGGAUUUGAAGUAAUAAGGCGAAGGUUUGCAUUUACAGGGAGAAAAUAAUCAUUUAGGAUCAGAUUCUUCUGUGUUCCAGUAGCCAAAUACAGAGUAGCAUCAGUAAAGUUCAGGGACAAGAUGCUUACCUGCUCUUUCAGCCAGGCAGUGAUGCCUGUCAUGAAGGGAUUGAAGAGCUGGGUGAGCAUAAAAAUGGCAGAUGCAUAUUUCCUCAAUCAUUAAUCUUCAAUUUAACUACCUGUAAUUUGAAGUUUUUAAGGUAUCAUUAAAUGUGUGUUGAUGACCAGUUUUAUAAAAUGUUAUAUUUAAAGGGAACUUCAAUUUUGUGUGAUUCAAUUACAAAUGUUUUAUUUAUGUACAAGCAUUGUUUUAACUGUUCCGAGUGAAAUAAAUUGUGCCAAUGAUCUCUAAAA